GAGGGGUGGGUGGAGGAAAAUUUCUUGAAUAAGGAGAGAACAUCGUGAUGAAGUAAAACUAAGAUAAAAAUGACAAAGAACAUACAUCCAGUAAUACUGUGAGCUGUAGAAAUGUUUGUGCGCGUUGAAAGAGAGAAAAGGAGGCAGAAUGGCUGGCUGGUGGGGUAGUUAGUAGGUUGCCAUCAUAAAAGUCCAGCCUGAAGUAAAACUAA
rnacentral:ribozyme from 1 species